UACAUGUAAAUCUAAUUUGAGCAAGUUAUUUUUUAAAAAAAUUUUAAAACAAGAUAUGAUAGUAUUUUACCUUUAUUUAUUCAUCUACGAUCGAAAAAACUAAAAAUAUCGUAAUCAAAAUGUAAUGUCUUCAAUCCCACAUUGAUCAAUAUUGUUGUUUCUACACAUUUUUAACUCUUGUAGAUAUGUCUAAUAUGUGCCUAAAGAGAGUAUAAGCAAAGAAAAAAUAAUUAUUUUUGGGGACACUUGUCCGACACGUGUCAUCCGAGUGUCUUACAGGUGUCGGACACCAAUCAAAGGAGUGUCAAACUAAAGAAAAAAUUGAAUUUUUUCCGACACCGAUAUGAGCUAUUCGACACGUGUCAUACGAGUGUCGGACACCGACACGUGUCGGACACCGCGACACGCCUAAUCAUAGAGGUGUCGGUG
rnacentral:lncRNA from 1 species